AAUGGAACUGCUGAACCGCUCUGCCCCUGGCAUGCCCACCAUCUGCAGGCUGGGUCAGCUAUGGGUAGAGAUUGUAAAAAUGAAAACUGGCACUGGCUCCAUCCAUCCCUUACAGCUGUGGCACACUCUGUAUUCCCCCACCCACCCCUUCAGGGGAGAACUCCAUGUGCAGGUGACUGGUGGGCACCAGACCAGGUGCCCUGGGAUGGAGGUUACAUAAGACUGCCUUCUGGCCCUUCCCCUUCCACUGUGGCAAAUGCGGAAGCAGCUGUGCUGAGCACAUACAAUGUCCUAGAGGGAUGUUCCAUGCAUUUUAAGCCAAAUCUCAGAUGCAUUUACAAAUCUUUCCAAUAAACUGAGGCUAA